rnacentral:rRNA from 1 species
ACGGAAACGACUGCUAAUACCGAAUAAGUUCCAAGAGCCGCAUGGCCCAUGGGAGAAAAGGUGGCCUCUACCUGUAAGCUAUCGCCUGAAGAGGGGUUUGCGUCUGAUUAGCUGGUUGGAGGGGUAACGGCCCACCAAGGCGACGAUCAGUAGCCGGUCUGAGAGGAUGAACGGCCACACUGGAACUGAGACACGGUCCAGACUCCUACGGGAGGCAGCAGUGGGGAAUCUUCCGCAAUGGGCGAAAGCCUGACGGAGCAACGCCGCGUGAGUGAUGACGGCCUUCGGGUUGUAAAACUCUGUGAUCCGGGACGAAAAGGCAGAGUGCGAAGAACAAACUGCAUUGACGGUACCGGAAAAGCAAGCCACGGCUAACUACGUGCCAGCAGCCGCGGUAAUACGUAGGUGGCAAGCGUUGUCCGGAAUUAUUGGGCGUAAAGCGCGCGCAGGCGGCUUCCCAAGUCCCUCUUAAAAGUGCGGGGCUUAACCCCGUGAUGGGAAGGAAACUGGGAAGCUGGAGUAUCGGAGAGGAAAGUGGAAUUCCUAGUGUAGCGGUGAAAUGCGUAGAGAUUAGGAAGAACACCGGUGGCGAAGGCGACUUUCUGGACGAAAACUGACGCUGAGGCGCGAAAGCGUGGGGAGCAAACAGGAUUAGAUACCCUGGUAGUCCACGCCGUAAACGAUGGAUACUAGGUGUAGGAGGUAUCGACCCCUCCUGUG